AACCACUUCGGUGGUCAUCCGUAAAAAUUGGAACGAUACAGAGAAGAUUAGCAUGACCCCUGCGCAAGGAUGACACGCAUAAAUCGAGAAGUAUCGCACUUUUUG
rnacentral:snRNA from 1 species